CACGUAGGGCGCAAGCGUUGUCCGGAAUUAUUGGGCGUAAAGAGCUCGUAGGCGGUCUGUUGCGUCCGCUGUGAAAACUCGGGGCUUAACCCCGAGCCUGCAGUGGAUACGGGCAGACUAGAGGUAGGUAGGGGAGAAUGGAAUUCCCGGUGUAGCGGUGAAAUGCGCAGAUAUCGGGAGGAACACCAGUGGCGAAGGCGGCGACCUGGGCCAAUAUUGACGCUGAGGUGCGAAAGCGUGGGGAGCAAACAGG
rnacentral:rRNA from 1 species